UGGGGAAUAUUGGACAAUGGGCGCAAGCCUGAUCCAGCCAUGCCGCGUGAGUGAUGAAGGCCCUAGGGUUGGAAAGCUCUUUCACCGGGGGAGAUAAUGACGGUAACCGGAGAAGAAGCCCCGGCUAACUUCGUGCCAGCAGCCGCGGUAAUACGAAGGGGGCUAGCGUUGUUCGGAUUUACUGGGCGUAAAGCGCACGUAGGCGGACUUUUAAGUCAGGGGUGAAAUCCCGGGGCUCAACCCCGGAACUGCCUUUGAUACUGGAAGUCUUGAGUAUGGUAGAGGUGAGUGGAAUUCCGAGUGUAGAGGUGAAAUUCGUAGAUAUUCGGAGGAACACCAGUGGCGAAGGCGGCUCACUGGACCAUUACUGACGCUGAGGUGCGAAAGCGUGGGGAGCAAACAGG
rnacentral:rRNA from 1 species